UACAGAGGGGGCAACGUUGUUCGGAAUUACUGGGCGUAAAGGGCGCGUAGGCGGCCCGCUAAGUCGAACGUGAAAUCCCCGAGCUCAACUCGGGAACUGCGUCCGAUACUGGCGGGCUUGAAUCCGGGAGAGGGAUGCGGAAUUCCAGGUGUAGCGGUGAAAUGCGUAGAUAUCUGGAGGAACACCGGUGGCGAAGGCGGCAUCCUGGACCGACACUGACGCUGAGGAGCGAAAGCCAGGGGAGCAAACGGG
rnacentral:rRNA from 1 species